GCGGCGGACGGGUGAGUAAUGCCUAGGAAUCUGCCUGGUAGUGGGGGACAACGUUUCGAAAGGAACGCUAAUACCGCAUACGUCCUACGGGAGAAAGUGGGGGAUCUUCGGACCUCACGCUAUCAGAUGAGCCUAGGUCGGAUUAGCUAGUUGGUGAGGUAAAGGCUCACCAAGGCGACGAUCCGUAACUGGUCUGAGAGGAUGAUCAGUCACACUGGAACUGAGACACGGUCCAGACUCCUACGGGAGGCAGCAGUGGGGAAUAUUGGACAAUGGGCGAAAGCCUGAUCCAGCCAUGCCGCGUGUGUGAAGAAGGUCUUCGGAUUGUAAAGCACUUUAAGUUGGGAGGAAGGGCAGUAAGUUAAUACCUUGCUGUUUUGACGUUACCAACAGAAUAAGCACCGGCUAACUUCGUGCCAGCAGCCGCGGUAAUACGAAGGGUGCAAGCGUUAAUCGGAAUUACUGGGCGUAAAGCGCGCGUAGGUGGUUCGUUAAGUUGGAUGUGAAAGCCCCGGGCUCAACCUGGGAACUGCAUCCAAAACUGGCGAGCUAGAGUAUGGCAGAGGGUGGUGGAAUUUCCUGUGUAGCGGUGAAAUGCGUAGAUAUAGGAAGGAACACCAGUGGCGAAGGCGACCACCUGGGC
rnacentral:rRNA from 1 species